ACGGAAGGCAGCAGUGGGGAAUAUUGCACAAUGGGGGAAACCCUGAUGUAGCGACGCCGCGUGAGUGAAGAAGUAUUUCGGUAUGUAAAGCUCUAUCAGCAAGGAAGAAAAUGACGGUACUUGACUAAGAAGCCCCGGCUAACUACGUGCCAGCAGCCGCGGUAAUACGUAGGGGGCAAGCGUUAUCCGGAUUUACUGGGUGUAAAGGGAGCGUAGACGGUAAUGCAAGUCAGAAGUGAAAGCCCAAGGCUCAACCAUGGGACUGCUUUUGAAACUGUAAUACUAGAGUGCAGGAGAGGUAAGUGGAAUUCCUAGUGUAGCGGUGAAAUGCGUAGAUAUUAGGAGGAACACCAGUGGCGAAGGCGGCUUACUGGACUGUAACUGACGUUGAGGCUCGAAAGCGUGGGGAGCAAACAGGAUUAGAUACCCUGGUA
rnacentral:rRNA from 1 species